AACCUACAUCUCGGUCGGGAUGCGGCCCGAAGCAUUACAGUAACAUGCUGCACCUCAGCCUUCCAAAUGACUCAACUGACGCAGUGCGACUCUGUCUUCAUUUACGAUUAAUUUCAGGCCACGAUCCCUUCCUUUAGUUUCAUUAAGAAUAUCAUCUUUAACGACAACCCAAAGCAAGAGAGAAAAAUGAAUAGGCGUCUUUUGGGCCAAAUCCUGACACCAAUAUAAUGACACUGAUAAUAAAUUAAAGUUAGAUGUGAAGAAUUAAUAACAAAUAGUUUUGUUUGGUUGAUAUGAUUAGCUAGAGUAUGUCAGUCAUGUACACAUGUGGAAAUCACCAAACACGUUUUCUGAUAAGUGGGUUGGGGGAAUAGUCAAAUGGCCUAAAUAAAAACGAGACAAAAAACAACUCUGACUGCCUUUGUCUCUAGAGCAACAGAGGAGCAGUAGUAGACUAAAUGUUGUUAAAGCUCUAAAGUUUGCACUGGGCGCGGGGGGUGACGGAGACGCAGCACAACCCCGGACAGAUAUGGGCUUUUAUGGGGCUAUCGGUGGCCGGCUGCAGCUAUUGUCGAGGCCGACAUGUGGGGAGUGCGGAGGCGCGCUCUUGAGACGCCACCUACUUGGAAUUCGUGAACUUCAAUGAGACCUCGAGCCACGAGUAACCUCAAAUUAAACGGGUACAGAUAGAACUCACAGCGCAAGAUCAGGUGAGGCAGCCAGAGACGGCUCGCUAGGACACCUUAGAACCGACACCACACCAGCAGAUCACCACACACUGGCCAAGCUGUUCGUUAAUUUCGUUCUUAUGAAAGUCACUAUUUGGCACACAGGAAAUCGAAAGAACAAAAUGUUAAAUAUGUGUCGACUCUAACUGUUUUGUACUCUGCACUGUGGUUUUACUGAGUGGCCCUGUCUUUACGGUCCCUGCAAAUGCAAAGACUGAGACCAUGAGCUUGCUUCGCCCUCGCCCAAGCCGAGCCAAAUGUAAACAUUUUGGAGCAGUCGACGUUUGUUUCUUACUUUCUCCGCCGAGGGGCUUAAAUCAGCGCGUUUUGAAGCAGAGGGUGGAAUAAGAAGAAUAAGAUCCUGACGGAAAAUAAAAAAGCCUCGCACGGGCCUGUGGCGCUGCGUCAUCACCUCUGCGCGGAUGGCAGUCAUUAGAAGACAGACGUGGUUUUGUUUCUCCGCAGAACUGCCAUUAUUUCUCAAUAAUGAUAGCGGCAACUCGCUACUUUCCACUAUAAAAUAAUACAAUCAAUUGCAAUUAUAUGUCUAACAAAGCCCUUGGUCGUGUCUUAGGCGGUGAAGGAACAUUGCCAAUAAGAAUUAUUAAUCCCAGGAACAAAAAUAUUGAUAUAUCACAUUGAAAUAUUGGCUAAGUAGCCUAUAGGCUACAGUCCAUAUUAUGAUAAGCAUAUCUCACAUCCCGUCUUAUCUUGUAGGAGGAGACCUCAGUAAAGCAAACAUCUGUGCAUUUAAUAAGCAGUGAUGACAGUAGACAUGCAUCCUGCAUGGAAGCCAAUAUGUUCGGCUAACCGAAGAAAUUAUUUGCAGCUAACAGUAUUGUUUAAAACCAAAGAAAAACAAAUAAGCUGUUUCCUUGUAGCCUAUUCAGUGAUUUUUUUUCAUGAAGGGAGGUGAUUUUGCAUAGCCUCGUGUUUUGUUAAAAGAACUGCUAUUGCACAUGCCACCUUUGGAUGGCAGUAGAUAGAAAGAGCUGCAGCGCGUUCCCGAGCGUGCACGUUCACAGUUCAAACCCAGUCCGGAUCACGUGCAUCCCUUAGCCGUGGUUUGCAUUUUUCCGGGGAUGAUGUAUUACCUCAGACAGUUUACCAUUUUAAUGUUGAAUCAUUUUAAUAUCUAAUCCUAAUCGUGACAUAUUUUUAUCUCGACAUUGUGGGUCACUGCAAACCAAAGAGACCGCGCGAGGGGAGGAGUUCCUGAGUUUAGAGGAAAAGUUCUACAAUUUAGACAGAUUAGUUUUGCAUAACUGGCAGGGUGGGCCCAGUCGCCAUUCCUUAAAGUAGCCUUUGAUUUGACAUGACAGGGGAGUUUAUGUGCAAGGAACUAUGGAACCGAUAACAAUUUAAUUGAUUUAUAUUGAGGAGAAGUAACUUGAACGCAGAUGGUAAUGCUUAAACUACUAUAUUAUUAUACAUGAUCAGAUGCGUGGGAAAUCUUCAGGAAAAAAAACCUCUUAAAUACUCAUUUCCAUCCAAUAAUCAUUCUCAGAUUAAACAUAGACUCUAAAUGAUCAUUAGUUUAUGUAAUAGGCUAAUACGUGACAUGCGGUAAAUUACAAAUGUAACUGAAUAAUAAACUACUUGUGUUUUUUCUGUGUUAUUUGUCCACAACUAGAAUAUAUAUAGUGCGAAAGAGACGGAUCUGUUCAAAUUGAACAUUUCGAAAACGAGUGGGUUGAACUGAACUUAAGUCUGUCUUUCAGUUUCCAGUGUAAGAAUUAAAAUGUGGUUAACAUUAUAUGUCGCCUAUUAUGUAGGCUAUAGGACUACUAAAACUACAGUUAACUUCACUCUAUCCUACAUGAAAGGACAAACUGUAAGUGUAGUCUUUCCCGCAAUAUUCUCCUUUUCUUAUAUUUUUUUCUUUAUUUUUUUUUAGUUAAAUUCACACUUAAGUUUGACACACUGUAUAACUUUUAUCGCUAUAGAUUGAGGACAAAUUGUGUAUCUUGAUCUGUGUUGAAUACCAUGCUAAAUAAAUUCAACUUGAAUUUAAA